UACGUAGGGGGCUAGCGUUGUCCGGAAUCAUUGGGCGUAAAGAGCGUGUAGGCGGCCCGGUAAGUCCGCUGUAAAAGUCAAAGGCUCAACCUUUGAAUGUCAGUGGAUACUGCCGGGCUAGAGUCCGGAAGAGGCGAGUGGAACUCCUGGUGUAGCGGUGGAAUGCGCAGAUAUCAGGAAGAACACCGGUGGCGAAGGCGGGUCUCUGGGCCGUAACUGACGCUGAGGAGCGAAAGCGUGGGGAGCGAACAGG
rnacentral:rRNA from 1 species